AUCGGAGGACCCGACUUAUCCAACUUACAGCACCGUUCACCCUAGGAACAUCUAUCGCUGGAGCUCUUCAUUUCUGUAGUAGCCAAACCGAUGGUCAAUGGCAAAUAGAUCAUACCAAAACACACCAGGAAGAAAACUGUCGCUAAGAAAGCCCCUUUAGGACUAUAACAACACACAUAGGUCAAAGACAACAAGAAUCGUUCAAGCUCAGAUCAGCGGCUUGCGAAGGAGACAAAGCAGAAAAAUAGGUAGAGCCCAUUGUGGCGUCUCAGUAUCGUGUAGUCAGAAAGCGGCGACACCCAUUCAGCUGGCUCUUUCAACCAUUGGGGAACUUCCUCCUUUCCUUUCGCAACAAAGAGUAACCACUGUCAAUUCUGCAUGCAGCUCGAACAACCACCAUCGGUAUACCCUAAGCACUCAGAAAAUAUAUGCAACAGGAAAGUUCAAGGUUGCUCAGGUCAAAACUGUGACCCCUUCCAUUGAGAGCACUGGAUAUGCAAAAGAGAAUAAAAACAUAUACAUAAACCAUCCUAAAAGUGGGAG
rnacentral:misc_RNA from 1 species